UCCAAGGACGGGGAGGACACCUGGGGGUCCCCAGGUGUGCCCAGGUGUGCCCGGAGUCUCUCAGCGCAGUCACACCACAAUAAAUCCCAAUAAAGUCCCAAUAAAUUCCCAUUUUUCUGUGCUGAGGCUCUUCCGGGCGUGUCCCACGCCGUGCCCAGGUGUGCCCAGGUGUGCCCGGAGUCUCUCAGUGCUGUCCCACCACAAUAAAUCCCAAUAAAUUCCCAUUUUUCCGUGCUGAGGCUCUUCCGGGCGUGUCCCACGUUGUCCUGGCGAUCUCCCCAGGUGCUCCCAGGUGUGCCCAGGUGUUUCCAGGUGCUCCCAGGUGUGCCCAGGUGCACCCAGAGUCUCUCAGCACCAUCACCAAGGUGUCACACCCCAAUAAAUCCCAAUAAAUCCCAAUAAAUCCCAAUAAAAUCCCAAUAAAUCCCAUUUUUCUGUGCUGAGGCUCUUCUGGGUGUGUCCCACGUUGUCCUGGCGAUCUCCCCAGGUGCUCCCAGGUGUUUCCAGGUGCUCCCAGGUGUGCCCAGAGUCUCUCAGCGCUGUCCCACCCCAAUAAAGCCCAAUAAAAUCCCAAUAAAUUCCCAUUUUUCCAUGCCGAGGCUCUUCCGGGCGUGUCCCACGUUGUCCUGGCGAUCUCCCCAGGUGCUCCCAGGUGUUUCCAGGUGUUUCCAGGUGUUUCCAGGCGCUCCCAGGUGCGUCACUGCUCCAGCAUGAGCUCGCAGGCGCGCGCCAGCUCGGCCAGGCGCCGCCGGGCGUAAUCCAGGCGGUUCAGCGCCAGCUGGCAGCUCUUGCGAGCCGCGUAGCUCGAGCCCUCGUGGGGCUGCCCCGUGGCCACCUGGGCAGGUGAGAGACGCACCUGAGGGGUGGGACUCACCUGGGAGACCCCAAAAAUACCAAAUCCCACCUGGGAUCCCUAAAAUCCCACCUGGGGCACCUCGAAAUCCCCCAAAAAAUGGCACUAAAAACUCACCUGGAAUGCCCCAAACUCACCUGGGCAGGUGAGAGACACACCUGAGGGGUGGGACUCACCUGGGAGA
rnacentral:lncRNA from 1 species